CCUACGGGAGGCUGCAGUAGGGAAUAUUGCUCAAUGGGGGAAACCCUGAAGCAGCAACGCCGCGUGGAGGAUGAAGGUUUUCGGAUUGUAAACUCCUUUUGUUAGAGAAGAUAAUGACGGUAUCUAACGAAUAAGCACCGGCUAACCCCGUGCCAGCAGCAGCGGUAACACGGAGGGUGCAAGCGUUACUAGGAAUCACUGGGCGUAAAGGGCGAGUAGGCGGGAUAGCAAGUCAGAUGUGAAGUCCUAUGGGUUAACCAUAGAACUGCAUUUGAAACUGUUAUUCUAGAGUAUGGGAGAGGUAGGUGGAAUUCUUGGUGUAGGGGUAAAAUCCGUAGAGAUCAAGAGGAAUACUGAUUGCGAAGGCGACCUGCUAGAACAUAACUGACGCUGAUGCGCGAAAGCGUGGGGAGCAAACAGGAUUAGAUACCCGUGUAGUC
rnacentral:rRNA from 1 species